AUUUCUUUCUUAAAAUAACACAAUCCUUGUGUAUACGAACUUACAAUUUUAUUACUUCUUGCUAAACUGAAAUCAAGUUUUUGCCGCAGUUAGCAGAGAUUGUUGAAUUAUUUCAACAAGUCAAUUUUUGUGCUACAAUUUUUAUUUUUUAUUUUUUAUUUUAUUUUAUUCUAGUUUCCUGAUUUUUGUUCUUAUUUAGUUUUUAUCUAGUUC
rnacentral:lncRNA from 1 species